AUCACUUCUCGGCCUUUUGGCUAAGAUCAAGUGUAGUAUAUAACAACUUUUAACUCUUUAGGAAACAGGGAGAUAGAUCUUUU
ensembl:snRNA U2 U2 spliceosomal RNA